UCCACCUCUGUCUUUAGAUGAGUGGCAAUAACGAUAUACUUCAUAAAGUGCAAACAAAUGAAGAUGGAAGAAAUGGAAGCAACAUAUUGCAAAGGAGGCUGCAAGAUGCGCCCAGUCUUCCCCAGACUACAAAAUGUCCCACUGAGACAAGCCUGUCAAAGGACAAUGUAGACUAUUCUGCCUAUGUGUGUGUGGGUGCCUUGAAUGCAGAUGAAGAAAUGGUGGCCUUGAGCCAAAGGCUGAAACCCAUGCAGUCGUUGGACGUUUAUGAUGAUGUAGAAGGACUGGAGAGGGGAAUUGGCCAAGGCUCUGGUGCUUGUAACUCCUUCACUUCUGACAGUUUUUCAGAAGACAACUAUGAAGAAACAUAUGAAGAUGUUCAGAAUGGGGAUGAUAUGCCAACCAAACUGGAGUGAGUUUUCAUUUAAUUGCCUUUAUUUCAUAGCAGCUGAAUGUACUUCUCUUGCUGUGGCUACUGGCUGGAAGUGGAUU
rnacentral:lncRNA from 1 species